rnacentral:rRNA from 1 species
AUUGAACGCUGGCGGCAUGCCUUACACAUGCAAGUCGAACGGUAACGGGCCUUCGGGUGCCGUCGAGUGGCGCACGGGUGAGUAAUACAUCGGAACGUGCCCGAUCGUGGGGGAUAACGAGGCGAAAGCUUUGCUAAUACCGCAUACGAUCUACGGAUGAAAGCAGGGGACCGCAAGGCCUUGCGCGGACGGAGCGGCCGAUGGCAGAUUAGGUAGUUGGUGGGAUAAAAGCUUACCAAGCCGACGAUCUGUAGCUGGUCUGAGAGGAUGAUCAGCCACACUGGGACUGAGACACGGCCCAGACUCCUACGGGAGGCAGCAGUGGGGAAUUUUGGACAAUGGGCGCAAGCCUGAUCCAGCCAUGCCGCGUGAAGGAUGAAGGCCUUCGGGUUGUAAACUGCUUUUGUACGGAACGAAAAGCCUUCUUUUAAUACAGGAGGGUCAUGACGGUACCGUAAGAAUAAGCACCGGCUAACUACGUG